UACGUAGGGCGCAAGCGUUGUCCGGAAUUAUUGGGCGUAAAGAGCUCGUAGGCGGUUUGUCGCGUCGGAUGUGAAAGCCCGGGGCUUAACCCCGGGUCUGCAUUCGAUACGGGCAGACUGGAGUGUGGUAGGGGAGAUCGGAAUUCCUGGUGUAGCGGUGAAAUGCGCAGAUAUCAGGAGGAACACCGGUGGCGAAGGCGGUUCUCUGGGAAUGACCUGACGCUGAGGAGCGAAAGUGUGGGGAGCGAACAGG
rnacentral:rRNA from 1 species